rnacentral:piRNA from 1 species
UACAAAACGCCACCAUUUUACCAUUUGUA